rnacentral:rRNA from 1 species
UGUGAUUCCCUUAGUAACUGCGAGUGAAGCGGGAUAAGCCCAUCGUUUAAUCUUCCCGGACUAUGGACGGGACGACGUGUAACGGUAUGGAUAGGUUCUCUAUCGACUAUGUCUGGUCAAAGUCCUCCGGAUUGAGGUGCCAGAGAAGGUGACAGCCCUGUGUGGGACUGGACAGCGUCGAGUAGGUGGCCGAUUCCGAGAGUCGGGUUGUUUGGGACUGCAACCUAAAGCAGGUGGUAAACUCCACCCAGGGCUAAAUAUUGACACGAAACCGAUAGCGAACAAGUACUGUGAAGGAAAGUUGAAAAGAACUCUGAAAAGAGAGUUAAAAGUACGUGAAACCGCUAACGGGGAAGCGGAAGGCAGUGUCGAGAUUGAGUGAGUGAGUUGUGCCAAGUUAAUCGAAUGUGAUUGAUUGAUUUGGCGCGACUAGCUUUGCUUGAUGCGUCAGGACUAUCGGUGUGCGACGGCUCAAUCGCAGGCAUGGCUUCCACGACACCAUGUACUUCACUUGUGGAGUGUGUGGCUCGUGGUUGCGGCAGGCGAUCCACCUCGUGUGCUGAUAUUGGAUGUGGUGAGGCGUUGGUGAUCAUUAAUUAAUUAAUAAUUAAUUGAUGUGUCGGUUGGUGUUGAGUGGUGCUCCGCGUAGUCACAGUGUGGCCUACGUAAACGUUAAUUAAUAAUGAUUAAUGUGGGAGAAACCAGGCGGCAGUUCAACAACCAGUGCCAGCUCCUGACGUGAUACCUAACCUUC